UACGGAGGAUGCAAGCGUUAUCCGGAAUCACUGGGCGUAAAGCGUCUGUAGGUGGUUUAAUAAGUCAACUGUUAAAUCUUGAAGCUCAACUUCAAAAUCGCAGUCGAAACUAUUAGACUAGAGUAUAGUAGGGGUAAAGGGAAUUUCCAGUGGAGCGGUGAAAUGCGUAGAGAUUGGAAAGAACACCGAUGGCGAAGGCACUUUACUGGGCUAUUACUGACACUCAGAGACGAAAGCUAGGGUAGCAAAUGGG
rnacentral:rRNA from 1 species